rnacentral:tRNA from 1 species
CCGUCGAUAGUUCAGUUGGUAGAGCGGGGGACUGAAGAGGUUCUCCAAAGUUGAUUUCCAUAGGUCGCUGGUUCAAAUCCGGCUCGACGGA